UACGUAGGGGCUAGCGUUGUCCGGAUUUAUUGGGCGUAAAGCGUGCGCAGGCGGUGAUGUAAGACAGAUGUGAAAUCCCCGGGCUCAACCUGGGAACUGCAUUUGUGACUGCAUCGCUGGAGUGCGGCAGAGGGGGAUGGAAUUCCGCGUGUAGCAGUGAAAUGCGUAGAUAUGCGGAGGAACACCGAUGGCGAAGGCAAUCCCCUGGGCCUGCACUGACGCUCAUGCACGAAAGCGUGGGGAGCAAACAGG
rnacentral:rRNA from 1 species